UAAAGAAGGAGCAUGAUAACAGCACAAACACUAACUACAACUAAACAAAAUGGCUUCCUUUUAUACUCUACCUUUUCAGGUGAGCAUCUGGAAUAGCCCAAGUAUGGGGGUUAACUAAUCAAAAUGGACACAUAACCCUCCACACAAACAAACAUACAAUAACAUUAAAGCACAUCACAAACAUAUACAUAUUUCCAACACAUACUAUAAACAAACCAAUAACAUAAGCUUCACCCAUUUCUAUCUAAAUUAAAACCCUCUUUAUCCAUACUCCCUAACCUGGCACACUGGUCUGCCCCAAGAGCUCUUAAACAGGUGAUUGAGCCGCUUUCACUCUUUUGCUCCACAUCCUGCAAGAAGCAACUAGGACAGGUAGGAUGGCCAGUCCCACUGUCUCUUUUCUGUUACAAGCUGUCAAUUUAAUUGUAUAUCAAAUAACCUAAUAAAAGACUCCAAAAGA